AAAAAAUUUAACAAAAUAUCUAUUAUAGAAUGCGGAGUUAUAAACACGCCAAUAAUAAAUGCGAAAUUAGUGUAACACAUCUAUAAUAGGUUUCCAAGAAGAAGGCAUAAAUAAAUUAACCAUAGUCAAAUAAACUUCACAUAGAGAAACGUCAUAGACAAUAUUAAAAUUUACUGACCCCGUCAAAUCUGCUCACAAGGGCCUUAAAGGCAUUACAAAGUUGACAACAUUCGGAGAUAAACGCAGCUCAAAAAUUGAGAUGAACGACAAAAAGAUCCUAUUUAUCUUUACAAGAAAAACCUUUGUUGGGUUAUAAAUUUUAUAAUAUUGGCUAAGAAAAAUCUCUAUUUACAAUUGACAAAGCGAUACAAUUUCGAAAAGUAAUAUAAAGAUUGGUUGACAAAAGGCAAAAAUUUUUAGCGAAGAGUGUUUAUAUUAGAAUUUAAGUACUUGCAAUAAAGUGGUACGCAAGGCAAACCUGAAUGUAAAAGCUGAAUGAUUAAAACUCUAAAAAUAAGCAAUAGGACUUAUCACUGCAGUUUAGAAAUUAGCUAUAUUUUUUGAAUCAAGAUAAAUAAUUUUACUUAUGCUACAACCCUUAACAUAAAAACUUUUUAU